rnacentral:rRNA from 1 species
UACGGAGGAUGCGAGCGUUAUCCGGAUUUAUUGGGUUUAAAGGGUGCGUAGGCGGAGUGCCAAGUCAGCGGUAAAAAUUCGGGGCUCAACCCCGUCGUGCCGUUGAAACUGGCGCCCUUGAGUGGGCGAGAAGUAUGCGGAAUGCGUGGUGUAGCGGUGAAAUGCAUAGAUAUCACGCAGAACCCCGAUUGCGAAGGCAGCAUAGCGGCGCCCGACUGACGCUGAAGCACGAAAGCGUGGGUAUCGAACAGG